UCAGGUGGCCGCAGAGAAUAGGCCCAAGCGACUGUUUACCAAAAACAUAGGUUUCUGCUAAGUCGCAAGACGAUGUAUAGGAGCUGACGCCUGCCCGGUGCUGGAAGGUUAAGGGGAUCUGUUAGAGCAAUCGAAGCAGUGAACUUAAGCCCCAGUAAACGGCGGCCGUAACUAUAACGGUCCUAAGGUAGCGAAAUUCCUUGUCGGGUAAGUUCCGACCCGCACGAAAGGCGUAACGAUUUGGGCACUGUCUCAACAACAGACUCGGUGAAAUUGUAAUUCCGGUGAAGAUGCCGGAUACCUGCGACAGGACGGAAAGACCCCAUGGAGCUUUACUGUAGCUUGACAUUGGGUG
rnacentral:rRNA from 1 species